CUCCAGUGCUGACAGUUUGGAGGGAAAGGACAUCACAGGCACGCAGUGAGCCCACGCGCAUGCGCAGCUGCCUUGCCUGCGGCAGGCAACUGAGGAUCCCUUUCUUGAAGGAGUUUCAUUUUCUUGGCUUAUUCAGGAGUCAGCCUCGGCUUAUAUGGAUUCCUUGCUAAGCCAAAAGCACCCGGCACUUCUGCAGAGGAGCUCUGGGGUUUUGUUGUGUCAGGCACUGCUGACAGCUGACAAACUACAGUGUGAGGGGGAUUCUUAGCCUUAUGAGCCCACCAGAAAAAGAUGGCAUCCUUCUCAACAAUACUCACACCUUGAAUGUAAUAUCUAUACCACUCUACCCAAGGGAGCCUGGACUGGUGAUUUGGGCACAGUCCGGGGUUCAUCAGUUACCCUUUACAGUUGGUUCUGUUCUGUGUUGCCUACGAAAGAAAUCCUUGAAGCCAAAUAAACAAACUAAAUAAAUAACAGGCUGCACUUAACGUGCUUACAGAAUUAUAGGGUUUUGAGAGACGACACGGCAUCAUGCUAGAAGCCAUAAAAGUACCCCAGCUGUUUCAUAGCGUGCAGGAAAUAUAUUGGUUUUACAUUUUGUAAUUUCAAACUCUGUUGACAACAGGCGACUUAUGUUACUUUAUAUUCCGGUCGUCACAGCCUACCAUAAUUCCUCAUGGCAGGGCAGAGUAAAAUAUAUCCCUGUGUGUUGACACUACUUAUUGUCUUUUGUCUCCUGUAGAUGAUUUGUAGCCCUGCUUUGAAUUUUGGUAAGAAAGUGCGUUUCCGGGAGCUUUUAUAAGCAGCAGCACAUUCUGCUGUCUGGGAGAUCUGGUCUCUUAGGAAACAGCCAUAGGGCCUUUGGCUCUUUCUCACAGCCGCCUAUGUGUUCCUCCUUCCUUUCUGCCAGUGUCCUUUAGGCUUCGCUUUGCAGAGAAAUUCAUCAAACAGCUAUUGACUCUGUUAAUCCUCUUCCUGUGUGCCCAUCAGCCCGCGUCUGCCUCUGGUAGUCAUGGCAAGCCCUCAACAGUCUCUUCUUAGGUUUUUAGGGUCCAGGUCAGACUCUCUUCCAUUGCCAUUUUAUUGUGGAUUCAAAGACUAUCCAGCUGUAAUUGUCAAGAGCAGUGAAGAGUUGACACCAUUGUGUCAGAUUAGGAGCUCUGUUCAAGGUUUUGUGCUGCAGCGGCUUUGAACAACUUACCCAAACAUCAACUAUCAACGUAAUAAGAGGGAUCAGUUACUUUUAUUUUUUUAGUACAUCUACACUGAGCUAU
rnacentral:sRNA from 1 species